rnacentral:misc_RNA from 1 species
GUGACCUCCUCAGAGCUGCGGGGAUGGAGUUUGGGACGACGACAGGUCGUCCUCGACGAUGUGGCUGGCUUGAUAUAGUUGCGCUGAAGUAUUGCUGCCAGAUAAACGGUCUCUCUGCCCUCAAUCUGACGAAGCUUGAUGUGCUCUCUGAGCUCCCAGAAAUUAAGUUGGGAGUUUCGUACCGACUCAUAGAUGGGAGGAGAUUCA